GAUGAACGCUAGCUACAGGCUUAACACAUGCAAGUCGAGGGACCGGCGCCCGGGUGCGUCUCACGUAUCCACCCUGCCCUUUACUCCGGGCUAGCCUUUCGAACGAAAGAUUACUACCCGUUCUAAUGGAUGGGGAUGCGUUCCAUUAGGUUGUUGGUGAGGUAACGGCGCACCAAGCCUUCGAUGGAUAGGGGUUCUGAGAGGAAGGUCCACCAGAGUGGAACGGAGACAAGGUCCAAACUCCGACGGGAGGCAGGAGGGAGGAAUAUUGGGCAAUGGGCGCGAGCCUGAAACAGCCAAGUAGCGUGAAGGAUGAAGGCGUAGGGGUCGUAAGCUGCUUUUAUAUAAGAAUAUGUAUUAUAUGAAUAAGGAUCGGCUAACUCCGUGCCAGCAGCCGCGGUAAUAC
rnacentral:rRNA from 1 species